GGGCCUGUAGCUCAGUGGUAAGAGCACGCGGCUCAUAACCGCAUGGUCGUGGGUUCGAACCCCACCAGGCCCACCA
rnacentral:tRNA from 1 species